GGGCCGCUAGCUCAGUUGGCAGAGCAGCUGACUCUUAAUCAGCGGGUCCGGAGUUCGAGUCUCCGGCGGCCCACCA
rnacentral:tRNA from 1 species